AGCCUCUUAAUGGGGUGACUGCGUACCUUUUGUAUAAUGGGUCAGCGACUUAUAUUCUGUAGCAAGGUUAACCGAAUAGGGGAGCCGAAGGGAAACCGAGUCUUAACUGGGCGUUAAGUUGCAGGGUAUAGACCCGAAACCCGGUGAUCUAGCCAUGGGCAGGUUGAAGGUUGGGUAACACUAACUGGAGGACCGAACCGACUAAUGUUGAAAAAUUAGCGGAUGACUUGUGGCUGGGGGUGAAAGGCCAAUCAAACCGGGAGAUAGCUGGUUCUCCCCGAAAGCUAUUUAGGUAGCGCCUCGUGAAUUCAUCUCCGGGGGUAGAGCACUGUUUCGGCAAGGGGGUCAUCCCGACUUACCAACCCGAUGCAAACUGCGAAUACCGGAGAAUGUUAUCACGGGAGACACACGGCGGGUGCUAACGUCCGUCGUGAAGAGGGAAACAACCCAGACCGCCAGCUAAGGUCCCAAAGUCAUGGUUAAGUGGGAAACGAUGUGGGAAGGCCCAGACAGCCAGGAUGUUGGCUUAGAAGCAGCCAUCAUUUAAAGAAAGCGUAAUAGCUCACUGGUCGAGUCGGCCUGCGCGGAAGAUGUAACGGGGCUAAACCAUGCACCGAAGCUGCGGCAGCGACACUAUGUGUUGUUGGGUAGGGGAGCGUUCUGUAAGCCUGUGAAGGUGUGCUGUGAGGUAUGCUGGAGGUAUCAGAAGUGCGAAUGCUGACAUAAGUAACGAUAAAGCGGGUGAAAAGCCCGCUCGCCGGAAGACCAAGGGUUCCUGUCCAACGUUAAUCGGGGCAGGGUGAGUCGACCCCUAAGGCGAGGCCGAAAGGCGUAGUCGAUGGGAAACAGGUUAAUAUUCCUGUACUUGGUGUUACUGCGAAGGGGGGACGGAGAAGGCUAUGUUGGCCGGGCGACGGUUGUCCCGGUUUAAGCGUGUAGGCUGGUUUUCCAGGCAAAUCCGGAAAAUCAAGGCUGAGGCGUGAUGACGAGGCACUACGGUGCUGAAGCGACAAAUGCCCUGCUUCCAGGAAAAGCCUCUAAGCAUCAGGUAACAUUAAAUCGUACCCCAAACCGACACAGGUGGUCAGGUAGAGAAUACCAAGGCGCUUGAGAGAACUCGGGUGAAGGAACUAGGCAAAAUGGUGCCGUAACUUCGGGAGAAGGCACGCUGAUAUGUAGGUGAAGCGACUUGCUCGUGGAGCUGAAAUCAGUCGAAGAUACCAGCUGGCUGCAACUGUUUAUUAAAAACACAGCACUGUGCAAACACGAAAGUGGACGUAUACGGUGUGACGCCUGCCCGGUGCCGGAAGGUUAAUUGAUGGGGUUAGCGGCAACGCGAAGCUCUUGAUCGAAGCCCCGGUAAACGGCGGCCGUAACUAUAACGGUCCUAAGGUAGCGAAAUUCCUUGUCGGGUAAGUUCCGACCUGCACGAAUGGCGUAAUGAUGGCCAGGCUGUCUCCACCCGAGACUCAGUGAAAUUGAACUCGCUGUGAAGAUGCAGUGUACCCGCGGCAAGACGGAAAGACCCCGUGAACCUUUACUAUAGCUUGACACUGAACAUUGAGCCUUGAUGUGUAGGAUAGGUGGGAGGCUUUGAAGUGUGGACGCCAGUCUGCAUGGAGCCGACCUUGAAAUACCACCCUUUAAUGUUUGAUGUUCUAACGUGGGCCCGUAAUCCGGGUUGCGGACAGUGUCUGGUGGGUAGUUUGACUGGGGCGGUCUCCUCCUAAAGAGUAACGGAGGAGCACGAAGGUUGGCUAAUCCUGGUCGGACAUCAGGAGGUUAGUGCAAUGGCAUAAGCCAGCUUGACUGCGAGCGUGACGGCGCGAGCAGGUGCGAAAGCAGGUCAUAGUGAUCCGGUGGUUCUGAAUGGAAGGGCCAUCGCUCAACGGAUAAAAGGUACUCCGGGGAUAACAGGCUGAUACCGCCCAAGAGUUCAUAUCGACGGCGGUGUUUGGCACCUCGAUGUCGGCUCAUCACAUCCUGGGGCUGAAGUAGGUCCCAAGGGUAUGGCUGUUCGCCAUUUAAAGUGGUACGCGAGCUGGGUUUAGAACGUCGUGAGACAGUUCGGUCCCUAUCUGCCGUGGGCGCUGGAGAACUGAGGGGGGCUGCUCCUAGUACGAGAGGACCGGAGUGGACGCAUCACUGGUGUUCGGGUUGUCAUGCCAAUGGCACUGCCCGGUAGCUAAAUGCGGAAGAGAUAAGUGCUGAAAGCAUCUAAGCACGAAACUUGCCCCGAGAUGAGUUCUCCCUGACCCUUUAAGGGUCCUGAAGGAACGUUGAAGACGACGACGUUGAUAGGCCGGGUGUGUAAGCGCAGCGAUGCGUUGAGCUAACCGGUACUAAUGAACCGUGAGGCUUAACCUU
rnacentral:rRNA from 1 species